rnacentral:lncRNA from 1 species
GUGAUGGUAUACACAUGGGUACAAACACAAAUAAAACUUUAAAAAAUAUGGGCACAAAAAAAAAACUAAUAUAUGGGUACAAAUUAAAAAUGAAAAGAAAAUUGGUACAAAUUAAAAAUUGGUACAAACUAAAAAUAAAAAUAUAUGAUAAAAAAUUUAGCCAUAAAUAUAAAUAUUCUAAUUGUAACAUUUUUAACAUUAAAGGAAUAUAUUUAAAAAUAAAAAUAUUUUAUUAUUCAUGACACAUUCCGACCUGGAAAGGUCGAAGCAUGCUGACCGUCACCGUGAGGUGACGUAACCAUAAGGGUAAGUGAUGCAAAAAGUGAAUAAAAUUAAAACUAAUUAGAACUAAACAGUGAAAAAGUGCGCAAUUCGUGGGUUGAACCCACUACAAUUAUUCAGAGCGUAAUAGACAGGGAGACUACGAAAGAGUAGUCAAAGCAACCAAAGUACACUUAUUACAUAAUAGUGAUAAGUUCGUACGUCUAAACAGAAGGAAAUGUCAAAACUGCCGUGAUUCCUCGAGUGCCACUAAGAGUACAGCUAUCUAGGUCCUGGAGGGGCGAAAACAAAGUUGAGUGGGUCAGCAAAACAAGGCUUAUAAGAAAACCAUUAUCUUUGAAUAUACUAACCUCUCGCCAUAAAAUAAGUAUAGUUUCCUCAAAACAUACUACGUAAGUAUGAAAUCCAAUAUAUCAGCCAUAUAACUAGAAAUAUGUCAAGUAAAUGAUGUAUCAUAUGCCACAAUAAUAAUCAUGUGAUAAUCAAUAUUACUAAGUGCUCAUCCAUCUAAGCUGACACACAAGUUCGAACAAAUGGUUUCUGACACGAACAGGACUGGGUGUAAUCAAUAUGCUCUAGUACUAUGAUCACGUGAAGACUGGUGCAAAAGCACAUCACAUACAAGUCGGAUCGCCUAAUGCAAUCUACCCGACAAGACUGGCACCUAAACUUGGAUCCAAGGUGAGCGAAUGGUGCAGAUGUGAACAUACACGUGAAGGACUGGCCCUGGGGCGAGUAUUAACACCGGGUGUAGCAGGAUAAGCAUGUACACAAGUACGUAUGAAUGCCAUGACAGUAAUAUCACAACCGUAUAGCAGCAUUUAUUACAAUUUAUAUCACAAUAAAGAUACUAGGCAAGUUAGGCGUAAAAGUGAAGUAAAUACGCAUUUAUGGAAACUAUAAAUAUAUAUAGGUAUAAAACAACUACCCACUCACAAGUACGUUGCUGGGUCGUAGCUCCCGAGCCUAGCUUGGCCUCGAAAAUCCUCGAAAUAAGUUUCCCCUAUAUGUGAAAUAACUAAAUAACAUUAAUUAAAGCACAUAACGGAAACCUAAAUAAAACCUUCAUAGUUUGCUCAAACCUAGGGUGUAAAUAUAUGAAAUCGAUCUGCUCGACGACACGAACACACACGUGUCAACCACGUGCUGCCCAAAGUGGCUGUCCACGCGCGCCCACGUGCCCCCUCGAGUACACUGUACUUGCCUUCUUCGCGAAAAUCUGCAGUUUUUCAGAUUUUUUGCCCAACUUCUAGAGCUCAUAACGAGUUCGAUUCUCAACCAAAUUCACUUCUACAAAAGCCAAAUUAAAGCUAGGAAUGUGAUCUACCGAUCCCAAUUUACAGAAAGUUUGAAUAUAGUCCGUGUUGUUCAGGAAUUUGGCCUAAAAGUUGCCAAACGACCACGGUUGAAAUUUUCAGAAAACUAUAAUUUUCUUCCCAACUUCCAGAGUUGAUUUCUAACUCGUUACUUAACCAAACUCAGUGAUUCAAAAGCCAUUUUGAAGUUAGGAAUGUAGAGAACAAGUUUGUACAUAGAAGAAGUCCAGUUGUGGUCGAGGUUGACCAGAAAAACAGUUUGAAAGUGACCAAAUGGCCACAGUUCUUGAGUGAAAAAUGGCAGGUUCUCCUUCUUCUCGAGUUUCUGGGUACAACCACACGUUCAAAACACAAACAAAGGAUCAAUAACAACCCAUAGAAGUGAAAUGAAGGUUCUAAGGGUUUCUCAAGGCUUACCUAAGCCAUACAUGGCCUGAAAAUCGAUAUGUCGAACUCGCCGAGUCGACCUUCCGAGUUAGUGAGUCAAAACUCGUCUACAUCAUAUUUCAAGGACAUGGUUGUGAUCAUGGGACUGAGAUGAUCACAAUGGUGUAGUUGGUUUGUCACGUUUGUGAGUUUUGGUGUGUUUUGUGGUUGUUGCAGAGAGGAAGAAGAAGAAGAAAUGUGGCGUGGGAGAGGGAGAAGAGAGAGAGAGAUGCUUUUCUGAUUGAGGGAACAGAAAAUAAAGAAGAGAUGGGAUAGGUGA